GUUUCACAGAUGAGGUAUCUGAGAUCAAGAUGAAUAAGUUAUUCAAGGUCACACAGCUAAAAACUUGAAAAGCUGGAAUCAGGUCAGGUUUGCAGGCUCCAUGCUCCACCCCCUCCGCUUCGCAACUGUAAACCACCUCAUCUAAUGUCAGAGCUCCAGGGGCCCGGGAGCUGCAUCUCCGGGAGAUGGCGAUUUGGGGAAGCCACCAACAGCACGAGAGUCUGCGGGCUUAGAGUCCAGAGCUGCCAGAUGGGAGACAUUGUGUCCUUGUGGCACGGAGACAGCUAUCCUAAGCAUCUCAGCCCACACCAAGUUUGGCUUCACGUUGCACUAGCAAGAUUCUGUUGUCAAUUUCAAAGUCGUGUAUUGCUAUCUGAGAUGCACUGAUUAGAUUCAAAUGGGAAGACUUGGAAGAAAUAGGAAGAUUUCUGCUUAAGAGAGAGGAGAGAGGGAGUUGGCUGGUGGCUGGUACAUUCCUUCCCGUUAUCCCACACUUUUGUGGUGGGAAAAAGCUUGCGUUGCUGCGAGGUGAGAUGGAGGAAAAGCAGUUGGUUUGGCAGACAGACCAUGAGGGAUUCUCCACAACGGGGCCCAGUGGGAAAGGCCUGUUCCUCUCAUUACCCGUCACAUUCCACAGGGAAAUCAGCUGGAAAACGUGACAUCAUGUCCAGUCUCUGAGUCCUGAAUGAGUCUGUGGUUCCUGACCCAGGAGAAGAGCAUGUGCUGUUAAAUAGCAAAGUGCGGGUGUCAUAAUGCAGGGCUCUGGGACAUCCAGGGCCCUCUUCACACCGCUUCUCCUCGGAGCCCCUGGGAGCAAGUGACAAGUGUGUAUGCGAAAACAUGCCAGAGUCUCCAGUGGACCCUGGACCUCAGGAGUCUGCAAUAUGGGAUUCACGGUGGAGCACGAUCUGUGAUAGUGGUGGAGACUGAGCACAGGGAGGGUGCACUGGAACGUUCCCUGGAGGUUAGGGGUGUGUUCAGCCUUAGACGUCAGCAUCUGGCCCACGCUCAUUCCCAGGAGCAGAGGGAGCCGUGGAAGGUCUGGAGCUAUGGAGUGAAGGAUGCGGCUGUGCAGCCGGGUGCAGAGGGAGCCGUGGAAGGUCUGGAGCUGUGGAGUGAAGGAUGCGGCUGUGCAGCCGGGUGCAGAUGGAGCCGUGGAAGGUCUGGAGCUGUGGAGUGAAGGAUGCAGCUGUGCAGCCGGGUGCAGAUGGAGCCGUGGAAGGUCUGGAGCUGUGGAGUGAAGGAUGCAGCUGUGCAGCCGGGUGCAGAUGGAGCCGUGGAAGGUCUGGAGCUAUGGAGUGAAGGAUGCGGCUGUGCAGCCGGGUGCAGAUGGAGCCGUGGAAGGUCUGGAGCUGUGGAGUGAAGGAUGUGGCUGUGCAGCCGGGUGCAGAUGGGGCCAUGGAAGGUCUGGAGCUGUGGAAUGAAGGAUGCGGCUGUGCAGCCGGGUGCAGAUGGGUUUGGGCUGGUGGGAGUGGAGGCUCAUUCGAGCUGAGAGGACAUUGAAAGAGGCUAUGGCCAAACUGCCCAUCCUCCAUUCGGUGAUGGAGACGUGGACUGUGUAAUGGGGACUGAGGGAAGGGCAGAAGCAGGUGCGCUGACACAGAAGUGACAACCCUGCAGGGCCCUCAACGCUCCCCAUUGCCUUCAGUGACCAGGCUCGAGCUCCGCCCUGCUGCACGUCUGCUCCCUGCCUCUCCCUCCAGCCUCACCUCUUUCCACCUCCACCCAUCUGUGUGCCUGACGCUGAGCGUCUUGACGACUUGCCUUCUCUGAUGCACCUCACACUCUGUGGACUGAGGUCCUCCACACAUAAGGCAGCCUUGGCCUGAACUCUCCCCUAUGCCCCUGACGCCCCCGUCCCAUCCUCCCACCCUCAGCUUAGGGCCCCAUCUCCCGUGGGCCUUUCCUGAACCUCCACCCAUGACCGACGAGGGUGUCCCUUCCACGCGCUCGGCCCGUGGGCUGGGAUUACGUUUGCGCGUCGGCUUCGUCAGGCCGCACACUCCUGAAGGCGAGUCCCUCGUGUUGGCAGGAGCUCAGCAGAGGAGUCUGAAUGUCUGGAGGGACAGAUUGGAUGUGGAGAAGAAGGACAGGGGUUAACGCAGAUCAACGUUUAGGUCUGCUGACCGGGAGAAGUCGUCCAGAUCAUCAGUGUCAAAACUUCCGCUCUGCAAGGGCCCCAUGAAGAGGAUGAAAUGACAAGCCACAGACUGAGGGAAAACAUCUGAAAAUCACCUUCCUAACAAAGGACUUGUAUCCAAAACAUAAAGAAUGCUCUACAUUCAACUGCAAGAAAACAAGCAACCCAAUCAGAAAAUGAGCAGAAGAUUGGAACAGACACUUCACCAACAUCAUUAGCCAUGAGGGAAAUGCAGGUUAAAAACACAGUGAGAUAUCACUUCACAACUAUCAGAAUGGCUAAAACGAAAAAUAGCAGCAACACCACAUGCUGGUGAGGAUGUGGAGAGACUGGAACUCUCAUUGGCUACGGGUGGGAGUGGGAGAUGGCACGGCCAACAUGGAGAAUAACUGGGCAGUUUCUUAUAAAGUUGGACGUAUGCUUAGCCAUGAAACUCAGCACCAUGCUCCUUGGGAUUUACUCUAGAAAAAGGAAAACUUAUGUUCAUACAAAAGUUCAUAGCAGCCUUAUUUGUAAUAGCCACAACCUGGAAACAACCUAGAUAUCCUCCAACCCCCAAAUGGACAAGCACACUGUGGCCUACCCUGUCACAGUGGAUCUAUCAAUAGAGGUGGAUGCUCACAGCAAUAAAAUGAGGGGAACCAUCAACAACACCCUUGGCAAAUCUUAAGAGCGCUGGGAUGAGGGAGAAAGCCAACCUCAAAAUGCACAAACCCAAGAUCCCACUUGUAUAACAUUCCUGAAGUGACAAAAUUGGAGGAUAGAACUGGCCAGUGGUGGCCAGGGAUUAGAGUGGGGGGUGACCAUUCAGGGGUGGCAUAAGAGAGUGAACUGAAGUUAAUUCUUUGUGACUUUACCAGAGGCAGAUACAGAAAACCCAAGCCCAGGUGGCUUACGGGAGAAAUGAUUUGAUCUGUUGGCUUGUGGAACUCGGAGCCCAGGGAAAGAGCUGGCCAAAGCAUGGACCUUGGCCCCUCCACCUUCCUGUGGGCCCUCAGCAUCUGCUCUGCUCUCAGAUGGGCCCCACUGUGCAGCCAAUGGGAGCUCCAAGGCCUGGGAGGGACAACCUCAGUCCCGGAGGCUUCCUGAUGCCUGGGGGCCCCUGGGACCCUGUUCAGACCACUCAUACCAGAUGAGCCUGCAAAAGAAAACCAAGGUAGUUUCUGGAAAGAGGGACAAUUGACAGAGAUGGACAAAGAGCAAGUAUCAGCCACUCAUGUCACACCCAUUGACUGCCAGCAUGGGGAGCAGAUAUUCAGUGUUUAGAAUAAUGCCCCAGACUAGGUAAAUUCAGGAACAGCAGGGUUGUUAUGCAAAAUCAAUCGCUAUCCAUUUAGUAAAGAACCCACAAAGAUAACCCUAGUGGACUUUGGGAUGUUUUGGAAAGUGAGCAUCUUGUUCAAUGGCCUUGAGUAGUUCUGAAGCUGAAGGGGUCUGAAGCUACAGCCUCAGUACCCAAGACCACCCACACAUAUUAGGACAGCAACAGCUGCUGGCAAAUCACAGCACAACACAAAAGCUGAACUCUAACUCAUCCAACACUCCUGUCUCCUGAGCAAACCCUCCUCUCUGACUCACCCAACCCUCCUCUAACUCAACAAACCCUGCUCUAACUCAACAAACCCUCCUCUCUAACUCAACAAACCCUCCUCUAACUCACCAAACCCUCCUCUAACUCACCAAACCCUCCUCUAACUCACCAAACCCUCCUCUAACUCAACAAACCCUCCUCUCUAACUCAACAAACCCUCCUCUCUAACUCAACAAACCCUCCUCUAACUCAACAAACCCUCCUCUAACUCAACAAACCCUCCUCUAACUCAACAAACCCUCCUCUAACUCAACAAACCCUCCUCUCUAACUCAACAAACCCUCCUCUAACUCAACAAACCUUCCUCUAACUCAACAAACCCUCCUGUAACUCAACAAACCCUCCUGUAACUCAACAAACCCUCCUCUCUAACUCAACAAACCCUCCUCUAACUCAACAAACCCUGCUCUCUAACUCAACACUACUACUGAGUCCUGGCCAUUGAGAGAUUUUCUCAGAGAAACAUUCAAACAGAAGUGAUGGAGGUUUGUAGAUUUACUUGCCUGGAGAAGUUAUAUUCCAGUUGCCACAUAUUUCAGUUACUAGAAGCUGGGCUAAGUCAGCAGAGAAGCCAAGGAAGGAAGCCACAGAGAAAGGAAUCUCCCCAGAGUAAUUCCCCAGACAAUUUAGAGCUUUCAGUGGAAUUGGAUUUUGGAUGACAGCAGCCAGCUAAGAGGAAAGAAUUCUUGAGAUUCUUAGCAGGGUCUGAGUCUGGGUAUUUUGUUGAAGCCCAGUCAUGAUUCCCACUCCUGGACUAUCUGUCCUGAAGGAUGUGGGGGUUUUGAAGGUAGAAUUUACGUCUAAUGAAUUGUACAAUUUUGGUAAAUCGACAGUCCUCUGUAGCCCUCACCCGAUAACAUGUAAGAUGUCUCCACCCAGCCAGAAUUUCAUGUCACUCCCUUCUCUGCUGACUUCCCCAUGCCACCACAGGCAGCGUGUGUUCUGAGGGGUCCGUCAGAUGAGUUUGGCCUGGUUUUGAGUCCCUUGGAGAUGGAUGCGUGCAAUCCGCUCUCUUGGUGUCCAGCCUCUUCCCCUCAGUGGACCGUCUGUGAGAUUCACCCAGUCGUCUGCUGGAUAUUUUAGUCCUCAGGAGGAGUAGGGCCCCAUCAGGACCCUUUUCCUCCUGCAGCUGCUUCGCCAAGUGAGGAGGGGGCUCGAGUCAGGGGUGAGGGGCCCGAUUCCCUGACCACUGUCUAGACAGAGACUGUCCUCUCCUUGCCGCCAGCGACAGUGUCUGCAGCCCGGGCAGUGCUGCACCAAAGGCCCCACCGGCCGUUUAGAGUCAAUGACAGGAUGAGCUGGAGGGGAACGAAUGAAACGCAGACCCUGAGGUUUGAAGCUCCUCCAGGGCGCAUUUGCGAGGUCCACCACAGCUGGGGUGACCAGGCGAUCAGACUUGGUGAGAUUCACCCUAAGAGGAAGGCUGGCCCCUCCAGUGGAGGCCGGUAGGUGGAAUUAAACAGCAGAAUGCUCAGAAUUCUCUUGAGCAGUGAGAACUAGCUUCUUGUUGCUGGUGCUUCUCUUUCCUUCCAGCAAAGCUGAGUUUAGAUCCUCUGAACCAUCAACAAAC
ensembl:lncRNA